CCCUUAGAUGUUCUGGGCUGCACGCGCGCUACACUGAAGCUAUCAACACGUUUUCCCUCCCGGAGAAGGGCGGGUAACCUUUUGAAUCAGCUUCGUGGUAGGGAUCGGGGCUUGCAAUUGUUCCCCGUGAACCAGGAAUUCCUAGUAGACGCGAGUCAUAAGCUCGCAUCGAUUAAGUCCCUGCCCUUUGUACACACCGCCCGUCGCUACUACCGAUUGAACGUUUUAGUGAGGCAUUUGGACCGACGCAUCUCAGUUUAACCGCUGGUUUGUGUUGGAAAGACUUCCAAACUUGAGCGUUUAGAGGAAGUAAAAGUCGUAACA
rnacentral:rRNA from 1 species